ACCUCAUUCACCAAUCGUAAACAAACACCCCUCAAGUCACGUGACAACCAUCAGUUUAAUCUAGACACCAACAUGGAAUCUAUUGUGUUGGAAAACCACUCUUGCUUGUAAAUUUUACUUUUGUUAACUUGUUAGAAUAUUGCGAUGUUAUAAAUGCAGCAUAUGCAUGUGAAAAUGAUUACAGACACGUAAUUUAAUUACAAUGUUACUGGAGUGAUUAGCUACAAUGGAAAGGUCAUUGAAGGAGAGUGUCAGUGUGCAGGGGGUUGCAAGCCCGCCUGUUGUAAACAUCUUUUUGGUCUUCUGUCUGCUCUAGAAGACUAUAGCAAAAAAGAAAUGUAUGCAGCACCAACAGACAAAAUUCAGACAUGGCAUCAACCUGCACCUAAAGCCUCAGAAAACGAAGGAUAGUUUUAGCUGUGAUAAGACUGGUCUACAAAAUUUUGAUACCAGUGUUUCAAUGUCUGCUUUGGCUGCCUUACCUCAGAACACUCCUAUAUUUUCAGUUCUACAAGCCGA